rnacentral:snoRNA from 1 species
ACAGAUGAUGAUCAAUUUUUAACCCCGAGAUCUCCAAUGAAGAUCAAAAACAUGCAACAACAAUACUCUAAUUUUUUGCUGAUG